UGGAUUCUUUUGGAGGCAGGAGGAGCCGCUUGUAAUGUCGAUACAAUGACAGAUGGUCCGCACAAAAGCCGGUGCGCAUUGUUCAGCUGGAAAAAUAAUAGCCACCAUUUAUCAGUGUUCAGGCCCUUGUCUGCAGGGAUUCACGCGUCCUGUCGACUGAUGUCUUCCAAGUGUGCCACAGCAGCGCGUAUUUUUCACUCUCAUCACUUCCGUCGAUGACCAACAACUCUCCACCGACCGACUGACUGAGCGCCUCCUCUCUCUGAUCCACACAUUACGUCUGUUUGAGAGGCAGGAGGAGGAGGAGAAGGAGGAGGAGGAGGAAGGGCAUCCGGUGUACUGGGAUCACCGGGAGGAUUGGGAUUGGCUCAGAGGAGAUAGCUUGAUAAAAAUGCGCGUCUGUCAUUGGACGGAUUGGAGGAGGUGGGUGGGGGUGUCGUGUAUUAUUCAGGAGGAACCGGGUGGAGGGAGUGGAAGAGGAGGAUACUCGAGGGCAAAGCGGCAUAUGCAGACAAUGCCCUGUCUCAGAAAAUUCACAUUUCAUUGGUGGACUUAUCCACCACAGUUUAUGGCUUCCAAUAAUCUCCUCCUGGACUAACAGGAACACUCAUGUUAACCAGAGAGUGUCUGCUAGUGUUUAUAAUGACCUCAGAGUGCUUGAUAUAGGCUGUAAUAAUAACCCCAUAAUGGCAAUAUCAUAUAGGGGAAAAAAAGAGGAGAUUUACACCUUUUUUUUUCUACGUUUGUCCUAUUUUAAGAUUAAAAAUUAAAUAUGCUGGACUCACCAGAUGGAAGGGAACAACUAUAAAUAAAUCAAACAACCAUUAUUUUGCAGCAUCAAACCUCAAGAAAGUGCGUGUGUGUGCGUGUGACUUUCUCUAUGUGUCUGUGUAAGAGUGAGUGUGUGUGUGUGUGUGUGUGUGUGUGUGUUUCUGCUGUAUGUAGGCUACGAGACAGCUGGAACUGCAGAAUUUUUCCACACAGGAGUAGGGGAGGAAAUGGUGCAUGGAUAAUUCUCUCUUCAGAUCCUCUGGUACUCGCUCUCCGAGAGUACUCAGCUGAAUCAAUACUGCUCAAAGCUUUCUCAUGUUCCCACUCUCACAUCAGUGCUACUGUUGUGGGAGUCCGGGGCGAGUCCGUUUUAAGGCGUUUUCCUUCAUCGAGAUGAUUAUUCGAAUAAAAAAAAAAAACCCGCCACCACUCCUUCUGUGGAGGGAUAAUUACAAAUGCUAA